rnacentral:rRNA from 2 species
CGUCAGGACGAACGCUGGCGGCGUGCCUAAUACAUGCAAGUCGAGCGGACCUUUUAAAAGCUUGCUUUUGAAAGGUCAGCGGCGGACGGGUGAGUAACACGUGGGCAACCUGCCUGUAAGACUGGGAUAACUUCGGGAAACCGGAGCUAAUACCGGAUAAUAUAAGGAACCUCCUGGUUCUUUAUUGAAAGAUGGUUUCGGCUAUCACUUACAGAUGGGCCCGCGGCGCAUUAGCUAGUUGGUGAGGUAAUGGCUCACCAAGGCGACGAUGCGUAGCCGACCUGAGAGGGUGAUCGGCCACACUGGGACUGAGACACGGCCCAGACUCCUACGGGAGGCAGCAGUAGGGAAUCUUCCACAAUGGACGAAAGUCUGAUGGAGCAACGCCGCGUGAGCGAUGAAGGCCUUCGGGUCGUAAAGCUCUGUUGUUAGGGAAGAACAAGUGCGAGAGUAACUGCUCGCACCUUGACGGUACCUAACCAGAAAGCCACGGCUAACUACGUGCCAGCAGCCGCGGUAAUACGUAGGUGGCAAGCGUUGUCCGGAAUUAUUGGGCGUAAAGCGCGCGCAGGUGGUUCUUUAAGUCUGAUGUGAAAGCCCACGGCUCAACCGUGGAGGGUCAUUGGAAACUGGGGAACUUGAGUGCAGAAGAGGAAAGUGGAAUUCCAAGUGUAGCGGUGAAAUGCGUAGAGAUUUGGAGGAACACCAGUGGCGAAGGCGACUUUCUGGUCUGUAACUGACACUGAGGCGCGAAAGCGUGGGGAGCAAACAGGAUUAGAUACCCUGGUAGUCCACGCCGUAAACGAUGAGUGCUAAGUGUUAGAGGGUUUCCGCCCUUUAGUGCUGCAGCUAACGCAUUAAGCACUCCGCCUGGGGAGUACGGUCGCAAGACUGAAACUCAAAGGAAUUGACGGGGGCCCGCACAAGCGGUGGAGCAUGUGGUUUAAUUCGAAGCAACGCGAAGAACCUUACCAGGUCUUGACAUCCUCUGACACUCCUAGAGAUAGGACGUUCCCCUUCGGGGGACAGAGUGACAGGUGGUGCAUGGUUGUCGUCAGCUCGUGUCGUGAGAUGUUGGGUUAAGUCCCGCAACGAGCGCAACCCUUGAUCUUAGUUGCCAGCAUUCAGUUGGGCACUCUAAGGUGACUGCCGGUGACAAACCGGAGGAAGGUGGGGAUGACGUCAAAUCAUCAUGCCCCUUAUGACCUGGGCUACACACGUGCUACAAUGGACGGUACAAAGGGCAGCAAAACCGCGAGGUCGAGCCAAUCCCAUAAAACCGUUCUCAGUUCGGAUUGCAGGCUGCAACUCGCCUGCAUGAAGCCGGAAUCGCUAGUAAUCGCGGAUCAGCAUGCCGCGGUGGAAUAACGUUCCCCGGGCCUUGUACACACCGCCCGUCACACCACGAGAGUUUGUAACACCCGAAGUCGGUGGGGUAACCUUUUGGAGCCAGCCGCCUAAGGUGGGACAGAUGAUUGGGGUGAAUCUA